UGGGGAAUUUUGGACAAUGGGCGAAAGCCUGAUCCAGCAAUGCCGCGUGUGUGAAGAAGGCCUUCGGGUUGUAAAGCACUUUUGUCCGGAAAGAAAUCCUUGGCUCUAAUACAGUCGGGGGAUGACGGUACCGGAAGAAUAAGCACCGGCUAACUACGUGCCAGCAGCCGCGGUAAUACGUAGGGUGCAAGCGUUAAUCGGAAUUACUGGGCGUAAAGCGUGCGCAGGCGGUUUGCUAAGACCGAUGUGAAAUCCCCGGGCUCAACCUGGGAACUGCAUUGGUGACUGGCAGGCUAGAGUAUGGCAGAGGGGGGUAGAAUUCCACGUGUAGCAGUGAAAUGCGUAGAGAUGUGGAGGAAUACCGAUGGCGAAGGCAGCCCCCUGGGCCAAUACUGACGCUCAUGCACGGAAGCGUGGGGAGCAAACAGGAUUAGAUACCCUGGUAGUCCACGCCCUAAACGAUGUCAACUAGUUGUUGGGGAUUCAUUUCCUUAGUAACGUAGCUAACGCGUGAAGUUGACCGCCUGGGGAGUACGGUCGCAAGAUUAAAACUCAAAUGAAUUGACGGGGUCAUAGCUG
rnacentral:rRNA from 1 species